ACGAACGCUGGCGGCGUGCUUAACACAUGCAAGUCGAACGGAAAGGCCCUGCUUGCAGGGUGCUCGAGUGGCGAACGGGUGAGUAACACGUGGGUGAUCUGCCCCUUACUUUGGGAUAAGCCUGGGAAACUGGGUCUAAUACUGGAUAGGACCAUGCUGUAGGUGGUGUGGUGGAAAGAUUAGUUUCGGUAAGGGAUGAGCUCGCGGCCUAUCAGCUUGUUGGUGGGGUAAUGGUCUACCAAGGCGUCGACGGGUAGCCGGCCUGAGAGGGUGGACGGCCACAUUGGGACUGAGAUACGGCCCAGACUCCUACGGGAGGCAGCAGUGGGGAAUAUUGCACAAUGGGCGCAAGCCUGAUGCAGCGACGCCGCGUGGGGGAUGACGGCCUUCGGGUUGUAAACUCCUUUCAGCCAUGGCGAAGCCCUUGUGGUGACGGUAGUGGUAGAAGAAGCACCGGCUAACUACGUG
rnacentral:rRNA from 1 species